CGCGUAGGCGGCCUGAUAAGUAGGGGUGAAAUCCUGCGGCUUAACUGCAGGGCUGCCUCCUAGACUGUCGGGCUCGAGCACGGUAGAGGCAGAUGGAAUUCCCGGUGUAGCGGUGGAAUGCGUAGAGAUCGGGAAGAGCAUCGGUGGCGAAGGCGGUCUGCUGGGCCGUUGCUGACGCUGAGGCGCGACAGCGUGGGGAGCAAGCA
rnacentral:rRNA from 1 species